UACGUAGGGUGCAAGCGUUGUCCGGAAUUAUUGGGCGUAAAGGGCUCGUAGGCGGUUUGUCGCGUCGGGAGUGAAAACUCAGGGCUUAACCCUGAGCCUGCUUCCGAUACGGGGCAGGACUAGAGGUAUGCAGGGGAGAAUGGAAUUCCUGGUGUAGCGGUGAAAUGCGCAGAUAUCAGGGAGGAACACCGGUGGCGAAGGCGGUUCUCUGGGCAUUACCUGACGCUGAGGAGCGAAAGUGUGGGGAGCGAACAGG
rnacentral:rRNA from 1 species